UUGACGUCUCUGUGACUUCCAGACCUGACAUUUUAGCUUCUCUUAUUUUCUGUCUGCAGCGUGCCUCACAACAUCAGACUGAGGGAAAAUGAGAGGCUUCCACCAGGAACAGGCUGCUUGAAUAAUAGUCUGGAAUUUUCAGGGGAACCCAAAAGGUAUGGUUGAACUGCUCAACAAUCCCCACCUUUGCCUCAUCAUUGGUGACAAAAGGGAUGGUCUUGGACUUUGGAUUCCAGUAGAACUGUACUGGGAAUCAGAAGACAUGGCUUUUAACUCUGGCUCUGCCAUUAAACGUGUGACUUCACCUGUCAGUCUCAGUUUGAUCACCUCUAAAGCAAGAGGAUUGGUUUAUAUGAUUCAUAAGGCUCUUUCUAGCUCUAAAAUUCUUUGGCAAUGAUUAAUUAAGUUAGAGAAUCCAAUCAAC
rnacentral:lncRNA from 1 species